CUCUUCAGAUCUGUCCACGUGUCCGAUGACAACGAUAUUAAUGUGAGUCUUUUCCUUUCCCAUGUUGGCUUCGAUUUAGUGGUGGCUUUCACUACGCCUGUGCUCUCGUGGCAAACCCGUUGCG